AGCGAACGCUGGCGGCAGGCCUAACACAUGCAAGUCGAACGAACCUUUCGGGGUUAGUGGCGGACGGGUGAGUAACACGUGGGAACGUGCCUUUAGGUUCGGAAUAACUCAGGGAAACUUGUGCUAAUACCGAAUGUGCCCUUCGGGGGAAAGAUUAAUCGCCUUUAGAGCGGCCCGCGUCUGAUUAGCUAGUUGGUUGAGGUAAUGGCUCACCAAGGCGACGAUCAGUAGCUGGUCUGAGAGGAUGAUCAGCCACCUUGGGACUGGGACACGGCCCAAACUCCUACGGGAGGCAGCAGUGGGGAAUCUUGCGCAAUGGGCGAAAGCCUGACGCAGCCAUGCCGCGUGAAUGCUGAAGGUCUUAGGAUUGUAAAAUUCUUUCACCGGGGACGAUAAUGACGGUACCCGGAGAAGAAGCCCCGGCUAACUUCGUG
rnacentral:rRNA from 1 species